rnacentral:rRNA from 1 species
AACGCGAAGAACCUUACCAGGUCUUGACAUCCCAGUGACCGCUCUAGAGAUAGAGUUUUUCUUCGGAACACUGGUGACAGGUGGUGCAUGGUUGUCGUCAGCUCGUGUCGUGAGAUGUUGGGUUAAGUCCCGCAACGAGCGCAACCCUUAUUGUUAGUUGCCAUCAUUCAGUUGGGCACUCUAGCGAGACUGCCGGUAAUAAACCGGAGGAAGGUGGGGAUGACGUCAAAUCAUCAUGCCCCUUAUGAUCUGGGCUACACACGUGCUACAAUGGUUGGUACAACGAGUCGCAAGUCGGUGACGGCAAGCAAAUCUCUUAAAGCCAAUCUCAGUUCGGAUUGUAGGCUGCAACUCGCCUACAUGAAGUCGGAAUCGCUAGUAAUCGCGGAUCAGCACGCCGCGGUGAAUACGUUCCCGGGCCUUGUACACACCG